AAGAGUAAAGUACUUCCGCUUCCUUAGGUGGAGCUGGAAAGGUGGAGGCGGAAGUGACUGAUCAAUUCAGGGGCGUGGGGUUCGUUUAGGUCUUUUCCUAGUUUUGCCCUGUGUAUGACCUCGUUUGGAGCCAUGAAACCAGGUCUGUGAAAUUUAGUGUCUAUUUUCUACCAUAACACAUGUUAAUUUGGACUAACCACAUUUCGAGUGCUCAGUAGCCACAUGUGGCUAGCGACUACUAUCUUGAGCAAUGCAACGAUAAGUCUGCACUUACGUUCAAAAAGACUUAAAGCAGGGAUCGACAACCCCCAGGCCACAGACUGGUAUGGAUCCAUGGCCUGUUAAGAACUGUGCCACACAGCAGGAGGAAGCUCUUCCACGAGUUCACGAAUGGAAAUAACAUCAAGAGUUUUUCAUCUUCUUAGUGUGCAAGGUUAUUUUAGGGCAAUGAUGGAAAGCACCAAGUGGAGUCUGGAGCUAGACUGAUCUGUGUUCAAUCCUGUCUUGGUUACUCAUUGGGGGGCCUCGACUUUCAUGUCUCUGUAAUGUCCCUGACAGUAUCUGCCUCACAGGGUUGCUGUGAGAGUCAAGCGAGAUGUCUGAGGAAUAGUCUUAGUGGAUUAUCCCAAACUUGACACAUUUUUUGCAAAAUGCUAUACAAAAAGAAGAUACAUGCGAUUAUGACAAGAUUCUCCACUUGGUGUGACCAGUCUCAUACAACCCAAGGCUGUGUGUCCAAAGGCAACUGUACUGAUCUUGACAAUAAUCAAAAGGUAGCCAGGUGCAUCGGGGAAAGCACUGACAUUGGAGUCAGACAGACUGAAGUUCAUAUCUGAUUCUGCUAUAUGACAACGUGUGGGCUAUGUGGCUAACUUCUCAGAGCUUCAGUUUUCUCAAGGGCAAAAUGAAAAUAAUAGAAAUAAUAGAAUCCACCUCACAGGGCUGUGGUGAGAAUUGGAGAUGAAGCACAUACAGCAUAUUACAUCAACUAAACACAUGCUAAGCACAUGACAGAAUUGCUCUGUUGAAGUUUUGCAAGGUCAAAUGACUCACUUUGUCUAAUGGAACGGGAACGAACAAUUUUUUUGUGUCACGUUUGAACAGAUACCUUUGAGAAGUUUAUGAUUCUCCAAGUUCUCUUUCUCCUACUGUGGCACCUACUGACAAGAUAAAUGUGUAGAGGUUCCUGAGUCUAGGGGCACUGGAACCAGCUGACUGAUCUAUGGAAGUUCCCUUGGUCUCCAUUUGUUUAGAAAAGGGACUGGUCAAAGGCUGACGUUUGCUUUUGGUGACAUUGCAUUAAUUGUCUCCCAUGAGACUGCUAGGGUGCUGAAGGGAUGAAGAAACUGAGGCCCACAGAAGGUGGGUGAUACCUGCAAAAUCACAAGCUUUCAUGGUGAAAGAAGAGGGCAAAACUCAACCCGUCUCUUUAGACUUGGGAAGAAUAUGAAAGGACCAGGAGGGACACCUUUCCUAAUAACCUAGCUGAUGGUUCACUUAUUGUAAGCACAUUCUCAAACAAGGUGACAAUUAGGUUCAAAUAUCGUCUUUGAAACACAAAGUAGAUCUUACCCUUUUUAUCCUCUUAUUGCUAGUUUAGCUUCUACUGUUAGAAAGUUGAUUCUUAAUGUAAUAUUUGUCUAAGGGUCUGUUAUAGGAGUCCUAAACAGAUACAUCAGCCAUUUUAUGCUCCUAAAUGCAAGCCAGGAAAGAGCUAGAGAUAAAAGCAAAGAUGUUAAUUUAUGUAAAGUACUUAGCAUGGUUCCUGGCAAGAAUAACAAGUCAAUAAAUGAUAUUAAUAAUAAUACUAAUACUGUAAAUAAUACCUAACAAGGCUAUUUUUCUUAUUAUUUUUAAAAUUCAUACAGUCUCUAAAAUCUUCAGUUACUUGUUCCUCUCACAGUGUUCCAUACUACACCCUGGAGACACUGAUCAAGCAGAGAACUGUGUUUACUUGAUUGUCUGAAACAGCAGGCCGAUAUAGCAGUUGCAAGCAUCUUGAGCAAUUCUAUUCCAUAUAGAGACAUAAGAAACCGAGAGAAAGAGACACAAUACAU
rnacentral:lncRNA from 1 species